UUCGCAAUGCCCGAAAGGGUGACGAAGCGACGCCGCGUGUGGGAAGAAGGCCUUCGGGUUGUAAACCACUGUCAGGGGUUAGGAAGUGUAAGGGUGUUAAUAGCGCCUUUGCUUGACUAAAGCCCCAGAGGAAGCCACGGCUAACUCUGUGCCAGCAGCCGCGGUAAUACAGAGGUGGCAAGCGUUGUUCGGAAUUAUUGGGCGUAAAGAGCACGUAGGCGGCUCUGCAAGUCAGCUGUGAAAGCCUUCUGCUUAACGGAAGAACAGCAGUUGAUACUACAGGGCUUGAGUGCGGUAGGGGAGAGUGGAACUUCUGGUGGAGCGGUGAAAUGCGUAGAUAUCAGAAGGAACACCGGCGGCGAAAGCGACUCUCUGGUCCUUAACUGACGCUGAGUGUGCGAAAGCUAGGGGAGCAAACGGGAUUAGAUACCCCGGUAGUCCUAGCCGUAAACGAUGGGCACUAAGUAGAGGGGUUUU
rnacentral:rRNA from 1 species